GUGGGGAAUUUUGGACAAUGGGCGCAAGCCUGAUCCAGCCAUUCCGCGUGCAGGAUGAAGGCCUUCGGGUUGUAAACUGCUUUUGUACGGAACGAAAAGCCUCUGGUUAAUACCCGGGGGUCAUGACGGUACCGUAAGAAUAAGCACCGGCUAACUACGUGCCAGCAGCCGCGGUAAUACGUAGGGUGCGAGCGUUAAUCGGAAUUACUGGGCGUAAAGCGUGCGCAGGCGGUGAUGUAAGACAGUUGUGAAAUCCCCGGGCUCAAACUGGGAACUGCAUCUGUGACUGCAUUGCUGGAGUGCGGCAGAGGGGGAUGGAAUUCCGCGUGUAGCAGUGCAAUGCGUAGAUAUGCGGAGGAACACCGAUGGCGAAGGCAAUCCCCUGGGCCUGCACUGACGCUCAUGCACGAAAGCGUGGGGAGCAAACAGGAUUAGAAACCCUUGUAGUCC
rnacentral:rRNA from 1 species